GUCCACGCCGUAAACGAUGCUAACUCGUUUUGGGUCUUUAAGAUUCAGAGACUAAGCGAAAGUGAUAAGUUAGCCACCUGGGGAGUACGUUCGCAAGAAUGAAACUCAAAGGAAUUGACGGGGCCCGCACAAGCGGUGGAUUAUGUGGUUUAAUUCGAUGAUACGCGAGGAACCUUACCAAGGCUUAAAUGGGAAUUGAUCGGUUUAGAAAUAGACUUUCCUUCGGGGCAAUUUUUCAAGGUGCUGCAUGGUUGUCGU
rnacentral:rRNA from 1 species